rnacentral:rRNA from 1 species
AUUGAACGCUGGCGGCAUGCUUUACACAUGCAAGUCGAACGGUAACAGGCCUUCGGGUGCUGACGAGUGGCGAACGGGUGAGUAAUGCAUCGGAACGUACCCAGAGGUGGGGGAUAACGCAGCGAAAGCUGUGCUAAUACCGCAUGUGAUCUGAGGAUGAAAGCGGGGGACCGAGCAGCAAUGUUUGGCCUCGCGCCUUUGGAGCGGCCGAUGUCGGAUUAGCUAGUUGGUGGGGUAAAGGCCUACCAAGGCGACGAUACGUAGCUGGUCUGAGAGGACGACCAGCCACACUGGGACUGAGACACGGCCCAGACUCCUACGGGAGGCAGCAGUGGGGAAUUUUGGACAAUGGGCGCAAGCCUGAUCCAGCAAUGCCGCGUGCGGGAAGAAGGCCUUCGGGUUGUAAACCGCUUUUGGCAGGAACGAAACGGUGUCCGCUAAUACCGGGCGCUAAUGACGGUACCUGCAGAAUAAGCACCGGCUAACUACGUG